rnacentral:rRNA from 1 species
AUUGAACGCUGGCGGCAGGCCUAACACAUGCAAGUCGAGCGGAGCGGCGGACGGGUGAGUAAUGCCUAGGAAUCUGCCUGGUCGUGGGGGAUAACGUCCGGACACGGGCGCUAAUUCCGCCUAUUAUCAAUUGAGCCUAGGUCGGAUUAGCUAGUUGGUGGGGUAAUGGCUUACCAAGCCGACGAUCCAUAACUGGUCUGAGAGGAUGAUCAGUCACACUGGAACUGAGACACGGCCCAGACUCCUACGGGAGGCAGCAGUGGGGAAUAUUGGACAAUGGGCGAAAGCCUGAUCCAGCCAUGCCGCGUGUGUGAAGAAGGUCUUCGGAUUGUAAAGCACUUUAAGUUGGGAGGCGUUACCAACAGAAGAAGAACCGGCUAACUCCGUGCCAGCAGCCGCGGUAAUAC